rnacentral:pre_miRNA from 1 species
AAAAAGACAAACCCUGGGUUUUCGUGUCCAACUUUGACUGUCUGUCUUAUAUAAAUUUUUUUUAUAAUUCGUAUUUUCAUUGUUGUUAGAUGAUAAAACAUGAUUAAUAUUUUAUGUGCGACUUAUCUUUUUAAUUUUUUUUAUAAUUUUUUUAAAUAAGAUGGACGGUUAAAUGUUGGACACGAAAAUCAGGGUUUGUCUUUUU